rnacentral:sRNA from 21 species
ACCUGUCGUGGGUCGUCCGUAGGGGCGCCCGCGACAUCAAGACACACACCGUGCUGCGGGAAGAACGCGGCACUUCAGGGCGUU